AAAAAUAUACACACCGUUUAAUUGUAUACACACAAGAAAACCAAUCUUUUUCAUUAAAUUUAAGUUUAUUUUAAAAUACCAAACUUUGUAAAAAUAUUACACAUAAAAAAAAAACUAAAAAAACACCAACUUUUCAUUAAAUUUUUAACUUAUUUUUAAAUACCAAACUUUGUAAAAAUCAUUGCCAUAAUACAACUCCUUUGACCCAGAC
rnacentral:lncRNA from 1 species